CACGAACCGGACAAACGUUAUUCGGAAUUAUUGGGCUUAAAGGGUGCGUAGGCGGUGCGGUAAGUGAGGUGUGAAAGCCCUCGGCUCAACCGAGGAAUUGCGCUUCAUACUGCCGUGCUGGAGGGAGACAGGGGUAAGCGGAACUGAUGGUGGAGCGGUGAAAUGCGUUGAUAUCAUCAGGAACACCGGUGGCGAAAGCGGCUUACUGGGUCUUCUCUGACGCUGAGGCACGAAAGCUAGGGUAGCGAACGGG
rnacentral:rRNA from 1 species